CGUCAAAGCUUAAUUCUGUUUUAAUCAUCAAUCCCUCAAACCCCCAAAGAACCCCUAAUCAGUACUGAGCGAUCUCAUACCCCUAUGAGACCCUUUAUGUUAAAACUAGUAACAAGAUGGUAACCCUCUCUUAUAUGUAAACAUAUGUCAGAACAGACAACCUACUGACCCAUAACAACCAUAAAUUUUAGUUACACCACACUUAGAAAACCUUACUCAAUCAGCUGUUAACCUUACACAAGAACAUAAAAAGAAAGAUUAUAAGAAAAAGAAGGAACUCGGCAAAUUUCGAUUCCGCCUGUUUACCAAAAACAUCGCCUCCUGCCAAACUAUAGGAGGUCCAGCCUGCCCAGUGACCCAGUUUAACGGCCGCGGUAUCCUGACCGUGCGAAGGUAGCGUAAUCACUUGUUUUUUAAUUAAAGACCUGUAUCAAAGGCAUCACGAGAAUCGUACUGUCUCCUUUUUCCAAUCAGUGAACCUAAUCUCCUCGUGAAAAAGCGAGGAUAACCAUACAAGACGAGAAGACCCUUUGGAGCUUUAGAUAAAGUAAAAUUCUGCUCUUUUUCCCCUUCUCCUAUAUUUAACCAGCAUUUAUUCUACAAAUCUUCGGUUGGGGCAACCACGGAGAAAAAAAUAACCUCCAAGAUGAAUGGAAUUAUCCUAAACAAAAAGCCACACCUUUAUGUAUCAAUAAAUUGACAUUAUGACCCAAUACUUUGAUUAUCGAACCAAGUUACCCUAGGGAUAACAGCGCAAUCUAUUUCGAGAGUCCAUAUCGACAAAUAGGCUUACGACCUCG
rnacentral:rRNA from 1 species